GGUAAUUCUGGAGCUAAUACCAUGCACCAAAGCUCCGAUCCUCGCGGAGAGGAGCGCAUUUGUUCGCCACAAAACCAAGCGCCUUCACAGGCGUUUCGUGUUGACUCAGAACAACUCAGCUGAUCGCACGGUCUUGCACCGGCGACGUGUCUUUCAAGUGUCUGCCUUAUCAACUUUCGAUGGUAGUGUACCUGACUACCAUGGUUGUGACGGGUAACGGAGGAUAAGGGUUCGACUCCGGAGAAGGGGCCUGAGAAAUGGCCACUACGUCUAAGGAUGGCAGCAGGCGCGCAAAUUACCCACUCUCAAUUUGAGGAGGUAGUGACGAGAAAUAACGAGACCGUUCUCAUACGAGGCCGGUUAUCGGAAUGGGUACAAUUUAAACCCUUUAACGAGUAUCUAUGAGAGGGCAAGUCUGGUGCCAGCAGCCGCGGUAAUUCCAGCUCUCAAAAUGCAUAGAAUUAUUGCUGCGGUUAAAAAGCUCGUAGUUGGAUCUGUGCUGGCCGCCCGGUCUGCUCAUUGAGUACGCACUGGUGCGGUUGGCUUUGCUGUCGGAUUUCCUCCCGGCGUCCGCCUUCACCGGCAGGCGUCGCGGGUCCGGCGAGUUUACUUUGAACAAAUCAGAGUGCUUCAAACAGGCGUCUCGCCUGAAUGUUCGUGCAUGGAAUAAUAGAAGAGGAUUUCGGUCCGAUUUUAUUGGUUUUGCUGACCGAGAUAAUGGUUAACAGAGACAAACGGGGCCAUUCGUAUUGCUGCGUGAGAGGUGAAAUUCUUGGACCGUAGCAAGACGGACUACAGCGAAAGCAUAUGGCAAGAAUGUCUUCAUUAAUCAAGAACGAAAGUCAGAGGUUCGAAGGCGAUCAGAUACCGCCCUAGUUCUGACCGUAAACGAUGCCAACUAGCGAUCCGCCGGCGGAUUCAUUCGCCCUGGUGGGGAGCUUCCCGGAAACGAAAGUCUUCCGGUUCCGGGGGAAGUAUGGUUGCAAAGCUGAAACUUAAAGGAAUUGACGGAAGGGCACCACCAGGAGUGGAGCCUGCGGCUUAAUUUGACUCAACACGGGGAAACUCACCCGGCCCGGACACCGUAAGGAUUGACAGAUUGAUAGCUUUUUCAUGAUUCGGUGGAUGGUGGUGCAUGGCCGUUCUUAGUUCGUGGAGCGAUUUGUCUGGUUUAUUCCGAUAACGAGCGAGACUCUGGCCUACUAAAUAGUCGGCACAUUGUCAUUGUGUGCACAACUUCUUAGAGGGAUUUUCGGUGUUCAGCCGCACGAAAUUGAGCAAUAACAGGUCUGUGAUGCCCUUAGAUGUCCGGGGCUGCACGCGCGCUACACUGGCAAAAUCAGCGUGCUUGUCCUUCCCCGAAAGGGGUUGGUAAACCCGUGAAAAUUUGCCGUGAUUGGGAUCGGACAUUGCAAUUAUUGUCCGUGAACGAGGAAUUCCUUGUAGGGGCGAGUCAUCAACUCGCUCUGAAUACGUCCCUGCCCUUUGUACACACCGCCCGUCGCUGCCCGGGACUGAGCCAUUUCGAGAAACUCGGGGGAUUGUUGGCGUCGUAACCUUCGGGCUGCUUCUUCGAUGAAAACCCGAUUUAAUCGCAUGGGAUUGAACCGGGCAAAAGUCGUAACAAGGUAGC
rnacentral:rRNA from 1 species